UACGGAGGGUGCAAGCGUUGUCCGGAAUCAUUGGGCGUAAAGGGCGCGUAGGUGGCCCGGUCAGUUCGUGGUGAAAGCGCUGGGCUCAACCCUGCGUCGGCCAUGAAUACUGCCGCGGCUGGAGCACUGUAGAGGCAGGCGGAAUUCCGGGUGUAGCGGUGGAAUGCGUAGAGAUCCGGAAGAACACCGGUGGCGAAGGCGGCCUGCUGGGCAGUUGCUGACACUGAGGCGCGACAGCGUGGGGAGCGAACAGG
rnacentral:rRNA from 1 species